GUCAACAUGGCAUAGUGGUUUGAGUGUUGGACUACGACGACUCAGGAGACCAGGGUUUGAUUCCCAGCUCUGCCA